AGCUACUUGCAUCAUUGUAAAUAUGAUGCAAGAUCGACUAUGUCGAAUAAAAUUCUAGGUAGAAUUAUGAUAAUGACAUUGUCUGCCUAUGUGUCUUGACCAAAUUACGUGCCAGCAGUCGCGGUAAUACGUAGAAGACUAGUGUUAUUCAUGUUUAAUCGGUUUAAAGGGUACCUAGACGGUAAAUCAAGCCUAAAAGGAAAUAAAUGAAGGGACUAAUUUACUAGAGUUACUUAUGAGGGGGUAUUAAAGUACUGCUGGUGUAGAGAUGAAAUUCUGUCAUACCUCUUUUCAAUAGAAAAAUAAUGGCACAGGUAUAGGCGAAAGCAUCCCCUUAUGUGAUAACUGACGUUGAGGGACGAAGGCUUUGUGUAGCGAACAGGAUUAGAUACCCCAGUAGUCAAAGCAGAAAAUGAUGAAUGUCAUAGAUUAGAUAUAUAAGUUUAUUCUAUAAAUGAAAGUGUAAGCAUUCCACCUCAAGAGUAAUUUGGCAACAUUGGAACUGAAAUCAUUAGACCGUUUCUGAAACCAGUAGUGAAGUAUGUUGUUUAAUUUGAUGAUCCGCAAAAAACCUUACCACAAUUUGAAUAUUUAUAUCUUUUAUUGUUUUCUUUUUAACUUUCUUAUGAUUUUCUACUUAAAAGAAAACAAUAACAAGAAAAAAGAGGCAAUAAGAUAUAUUUACAAGCGUUGCACGGCUGUCUUCAGUUAAUGUCGCGAGACUCUGGUUAGUUCCAUUAAAUUAACGUAAACCCUUACUUUAUUUUUAUAUAGAGUAGUUCCCCGCUAUAUUGGAUAUGAU
rnacentral:rRNA from 1 species